UACGGGGGGGGCAAGCGUUGUUCGGAAUUACUGGGCGUAAAGGCUCGUAGGUGGCCAACUAAGUCGGACGUGAAAUCCCUCGGCUUAACCGGGGAACUGCGUCUGAUACUGGAUGGCUUGAGUUCGGGAGAGGGAUGCGGAAUUCCAGGUGUAGCGGUGAAAUGCGUAGAUAUCUGGAGGAACACCGGUGGCGAAGGCGGCAUCCCUGGACCGACACUGACGCUGAGGAGCGAAAGCCAGGGGAGCAAAGCGGG
rnacentral:rRNA from 1 species